ACGUCCACUUCCAACAAGCAAGCAGUGAGGUGCAUCUCAGCCUUUGCUCACUGCAAGGUACAGAAAUUGUUUAAUAAUGACUUUGGAGAAGGUUUCCCUAUCCAGUCUCCUGAUCAGGAAGAAAGAAGAAGGUUUUUGGAGGACUUAAUCACGAGAGGAGCUGCUGUUGAUCCUCCACUUCCAAGAAGCAAGCAGGUGAGGACAUUGUGCAUCUCAGCCUUUGCUCACUGCAAGGUGCCAGCCACUCCAUCUGUGCUUUGCGGUGAUUUUCCACCAGCACUUGUGCUUGUAUGUGAGCACCAGGCAUCCGCUAACGCUGUCUGAUAGCUUUAGGCUGGGCAGACACGGGAAGCACUGCCUGCAGCAGCAGCAGCUGAGCUCCGUGUGCCAGAGGAAGGAAUGCGGCGUCUGGAGGAGCAGGAGGAGGAGACCCCGCGUGACUCUGCGUGUUCUGCAGGGCCGUUCCUCACAGACUGCCACUGACAGACGUUUGGGGCACUGCAGAGCCUGUUGGUGCGGAUGAGGUAAAGCAGUGUUGAUCUGUA
rnacentral:lncRNA from 1 species